rnacentral:rRNA from 1 species
CCUACGGGGGGCAGCAGUGGGGAAUAUUGGACAAUGGGGGCAACCCUGAUCCAGCCAUGCCGCGUGUGUGACGAAGGCCCUCGGGUUGUAAAGCACUUUCAGUGAGGAAGAACGCCUGGUGGUUAAUACCCAUCAGGAAAGACAUCACUCACAGAAGAAGCACCGGCUAACUCCGUGCCAGCAGCCGCGGUAAUACGGAGGGUGCGAGCGUUAAUCGGAAUUACUGGGCGUAAAGCGCGCGUAGGUGGCUUGAUAAGCCGGUUGUGAAAGCCCCGGGCUCAACCUGGGAACGGCAUCCGGAACUGUCAAGCUAGAGUGCAGGAGAGGAAGGUAGAAUUACCGGUGUAGCGGUGAAAUGCGUAGAGAUCGGGAGGAAUACCAGUGGCGAAGGCGGCCUUCUGGACUGACACUGACACUGAGGUGCGAAAGCGUGGGUAGCAAACAGGAUUAGAUACCCUUGUAGUC